UCUUUAUUUUUAUUAUUUGCCUUAUUUUUAUUGCUUUCAAUUUUAGAUUAAUUAAAUCAAUCUCAAAACCCCCCAUUUUACUUACAGUUUAGUUGGUUUCAGUUUUAUCUCAUUUUAGUUUAUUUUGCUUUCCGUUUAUUUCUCUUUCAGUUUUAUCUCAUUUCAGUUUUAUCUCAUUUCAGUUUAUCUCGUUUUCAGUUUUAUCUCGUUUCAGUUUUAUCUCGUUUCAGUUUAUCUCGUUUUCAGUUUUCUUCUUUUGCAGUUUAUUUUU
rnacentral:lncRNA from 1 species